GAAACCAAGAUCAAUGUUUGGCCUACGCUUUGGCCAACAUUGAUCUUGGUUUCUCCUCAUAUCUUUCCUCUAUGACUUCUCUUCACUCUCGGAAAAAAAGAAUUGGAGCACAAAAGCUUUUCCCUGGGGCACUACCCUAUACAGUAACAACACAGCACUAUUACUUGUAAGUCACUUUUUGUACCUUCAAGUCUACAAUUGUGUACCCAAGUGACUGAAAUGAACUUUUCAACAAAAACAUGUCACAAAAUUGAGAAAACAGUGCAAGACCCUUUUUCCCCUUCACCCCAGCUCCCACUGUCGAUCUGGGGAGGUUGUAAACCAGCUAUGUGCUUCUCAUUGAUAUACAGGCUUCUUUUAAUCAGGACAGCGAGAAUACCAUCCCCUCCAGACACCAACCCCACAACACAGGUGGCCCGA